GACGAACGCUGGCGGCGUGCUUAACACAUGCAAGUCGAACGGAAAGGCCCCUUUGGGGGUGCUCGAGUGGCGAACGGGUGAGUAACACGUGAGUAACCUGCCCUUGACUUCGGGAUAACUUCAGGAAACUGGGGCUAAUACCGGAUAGGAAUCAUUGCUGCAUGGAGGGGGUUGGAAAGAUUCGGCGGGUUUGGAUGGACUCGCGGCUUAUCAGUCUGUUGGUGGGGUAGUGGCUUACCAAGGAUUUGACGGGUAGCCGGCCUGAGAGGGCGACCGGCCACAAUGGGACUGAGAUACGGCCCAGACGUCUACGGGAGGCAGCAGUGGGGAAUAUUUCACAAUGGGCGGAAGCCUGAUGCAGCAACGCCCCGGGCGGGAUGACGGCCUUCGGGUUGUAAACCGCUUUCAGCAGGGGCGGAGCUUGUAGUGACGGUACCUGCAGAAGAAGCACCGGCUAACUACGUG
rnacentral:rRNA from 1 species